rnacentral:rRNA from 1 species
AGAUUGAACGCUGGCGGCAGGCUUAACACAUGCAAGUCGAGCGGUAGCAGGUCCUUCGGGAUGCUGACGAGCGGCGGACGGGUGAGUAAUACAUAGGAAACUGCCCAGUAGUGGGGGAUAGCCCGGGGAAACCCGGAUUAAUACCGCAUACGCCCUUUGGGGGAAAGCAGGGGAUCUUCGGACCUUGCGCUAUUGGAUGUGCCUAUGUCGGAUUAGCUAGUUGGUGGGUAAAGCCUACCAAGGCGACGAUCCGUAGCUGGUCUGAGAGGAUGAUCAGCCACAUCGGGACUGAGACACGGCCCGAACUCCUACGGGAGGCAGCAGGUGGGGAAUAGUUGGACAAGUGGGGGACAACCCUGAAUCCAGCCAUGCCGCGUGUGUAGAAGAAGGUCGUUUCGGGUAGUAAAG